rnacentral:rRNA from 1 species
AUUGAACGCUGGCGGUAUGCCUUACACAUGCAAGUCGAACGGUAACAGGCUAACGGGUGCUGCUGAGUGGUGAACGGGUGAGUAAUGCAUAGGAACGUACCCAGAGCUGGGGGUUAACGCAGCGUAAGGUGUGCAAAUACCGCAUGUGACCUGAGGAUGCAUGCGGGGGAACGAGGAGCAACGUUUGGCCUUGCGCCUUUGGAGCGGCCGAUGUCGGAUUAGCUAGUUGGCGGGGUAAAGGCCCACCAAGGCGACGAUCCGUAGCUGGUCUGAGAGGACGACCAGCCACACUGGAACUGAGACACGGCCCAGACUCCUACGGGAGGCAGCAGUGGGGAAUAUUGGACAAUGGGCGCAAGCCUGAUCCAGCAAUGCCGCGUGCGGGAAGAAGGCCUUCGGGUUGUAAACCGCUUUUGGCGGGAAAGAAACGGAGUACGCUAAUACCGCGCUGUUAUGACGGUACCUACAGAAUAAGCACCGGCUAACUUCGUG